rnacentral:rRNA from 1 species
AUACGUAGGUGACAAGCGUUAUCCGGAUUUACUGGGCGUAAAGGGCGUGUAGGCGGUCUUGCAAGUCAGAAGUGAAAUUCCUGAGCUCAACUCGGGCGCUGCUUCUGAAACUGCAGGACUUGAGUGCUGGAGGGGAUAGUGGAAUUCCUAGUGGAGCGGUAAAAUGCGCAGAUAUUAGGAAGAACACCGGUGGCGAAGGCGGGUUUCUGGACAGUAACUGACGCUGAGGCGCGAAAGCGUGGGGAGCAAACAGGAUUAGAUACCCUGGUAUUCCACGCCGUAAACGAUGAAUACUAGGUGUAGGGGGUAUCGACUCCCUCUGUGCCGCAGUUAACACAAUAAGUAUUCCGCCUGGGGAGUACGGCCGCAAGGUUGAAACUCAAAUGAAUUGACGGGG